GAUCAUGGCUCAGGAUGAACGCUGGCGGCGUGCUUAACACAUGCAAGUCGAACGAUGAAGCCCUGCUUGCAGGGUGGAUUAGUGGCGAACGGGUGAGUAACACGUGAGUAACCUGCCCCUGACUCUGGGAUAAGCCCGGGAAACUGGGUCUAAUACCGGAUAUGACUUCCUACUGCAUGGUGGGUUGUUGAAAGAUUUAUCGGUGGGGGAUGGACUCGCGGCCUAUCAGCUUGUUGGUGAGGUAAUGGCUCACCAAGGCGACGACGGGUAGCCGGCCUGAGAGGGUGACCGGCCACACUGGGACUGAGACACGGCCCAGACUCCUACGGGAGGCAGCAGUGGGGAAUAUUGCACAAUGGGCGCAAGCCUGAUGCAGCGACGCCGCGUGAGGGAUGACGGCCUUCGGGUUGUAAACCUCU
rnacentral:rRNA from 1 species